AACGAACGCUGGCGGCAUGCCUAACACAUGCAAGUCGUACGAGAUCUUCGGGUCUAGUGGCGCACGGGUGCGUAACGCGUGGGAAUCUGCCCUUUGGUUCGGAAUAACAGUUGGAACCGACUGCUAAUAGCGGAUGAGGACGGAAGUCCAAAGAUUUAUCGCCAGAGAAUGAGCCAGCGUAGGAUUAGCUAGUUGGUGUGGUAAAGGCGAACCAAGGCGACGAUCCUUGGCUGGUCUGGGAGGAUGAUCGGCCACACUGGGACUGAGACACGGCCAAGACUCCUACGGGAGGCAGCAGUGGGGAAUAUUGGACAAUGGGCGAAAGCCUGAUCCAGCAAUGCCGCGUGAGUGAUGAAGGCCUUAGGGUUGUAAAGCUCUUUUACCCGGGAUGAUAAUGACAGUACCGGGAGAAUAAGCUCCGGCUAACUCCGUGCCAGCCGCCGCCGUAA
rnacentral:rRNA from 1 species